GUAGUAAGUUACGUCGGUUGGGGUUCGGGGGGUAACGGGGUUAAGGUCCCGGACCCCCAAACCGGAACGGAACCGAAACGUACUACGUAAGGUACCGGGUCCCGGUUCGUAGGAAGGGAAGGUAGUAACGGGAACCCGGGACCCAACUUAGGUUAACGGUAACGUAGGAACGAACCGGUACCCGGUAAACCCUAAACCCUUACCCGGGUAACGGGGGACGGACGACGACUAGGGGGUAAGGGGUAAAUUUAGUUCGACAACUAGGUUCGGGGGAAAACCCCUGAUGCAGCAACGCCGCGUGAGUGAAGAAGUAUUUCGGUAUGUAAAGCUCUAUCAGCAGGGAAGAUAAUGACGGUACCUGACUAAGAAGCUCCGGCUAAAUACGUGCCAGCAGCCGCGGUAA
rnacentral:rRNA from 1 species